GCCAUGAUUAGCAAGCAAGGAAAGCCAUAGCUUACGAAAUGUUUUUAUGUCAUAGUUAUUAGGUAAACUAUAAGACUUUACUGACUAUAGUAUCAAAGUAUGUUUUACUUGCCUAAUGCUUGAUGUGACACAAGAAACUGAAAUAUAUUCAGCACUCGCCAUGAAUUAUGUUCAGUGGGCUCAGUGGCCUAUGCAGCCAUCAGCCUAUGCUAAUGUACCGCAUGGACAAGUUGACUGGGCGGCCCUAGCACAACAAUGGAUUACGCGCAAAGAGAGUGAGGUAGUGGACGACGUGCCACCAGGAGUGGACAUGGUAGGACACGCCGAAACAACUGGAUCAGGAGAGAAUACUAAUGACAGCCAGACGUCUGCAAAUGCUGGUACAAAUGACUCGUACAGUAUUUUACACACAAACUGCAACACUUAUAUGAGCAGUCAAGAUCCAAUGUAUGCAGUGCAGCCAAACAUGGUUGGCUACACUUGGCCAGGUGGGGCUUGGCCAGCCUGGGCUAUGCAACAGCCACAGCCACAACCGCCGCAGCAGCAGCCGGCAAGUAGCGAAGUGCCAAAAGAAGUGAUUGAGUAUGGUCAUACUCCUGGCCAGACCAUUGAUCACAACCAUGGGAACCAGUUUGGUCAAGCGCAGUCAUUUGACUACAACCAUGGCGGUCAAGAGAACCUUAGCAGUGGCUAUGCCCAGCCGCCACCGAACGCGCAGGCCUAUGGAGACAUGCAGGAGAUGCAUGGGGCGUGGCCCAACGUUGCCGAAGUGCCACAGUUCAGAGCCCAUCCCGGCAGGUUUCCACGUGACAGGGCCUUCGGUGGUAGGGACAGACGUAUGCCGUAUGAUGAGAUGAGUGGCUCGCCGCGUGGGGAGACUCCUCCCCAGGAGGAAGCACCUAUAUUAGAUGCUCAGAAGCGCAAGUCAUUACCACUGUGGAUUAGACAGGGACUUGAGAAAAUGGAGAUGGAAAAGAGAAAAUCCAACGAAAGGGAAAGAAAAAUUAAACAACUAGAAGAAGCGAAAGCAAAACGCUUGAAAGAAAUGGAAGAGGAAGAUAACGAAGGAGGGUCGCCGAAAGCACCAAGAAAAAGCAGAUUUGAGAGUGAUGAUGAAGAUGAGGAAAAUGAGAAGAGUACCAAAUCAGAAGAUGAGGAGGAAAGUAAACAGGUAGAAGAGGAAUCAGAAGGAGCGCGUUCUCCAUCACCCAUUGUAGAGCAACCACCGAUGACUGAACUUGAAAGGCAGCAAGAGCUGAUGUUGAAAACUCGCCGAAUGUUGACAGAGAUUCUACUUGAGGUAACGGAUGUGUUGGUGCGGGAAGUGGCUGCAGAAGUACACAAGAAGGCACGCUCAAAAGCACCAGCAAAGCAGCUAGCUUCUACCACUGCUUUGGCGUCAAUCACGGGCGGUCUUGGUCUAGCUGGCUACGGGUCGGACUCGGAUAACGAGUCGGCGGUGGACAGCCGAGUGAACAGUGGUGAGGAGGAGGAAGAUGACGGUGUGGACAGUGAUGCCGAGCUCCAGGACAGCAUUCGCGUGCGGCGCGCCGCCUUCCUGCGCAAGCUGCAGGAAACACAAGAGCAGCAGGUUGCCGCCGACGACGAUGACGACGACGACGACGAGUCGGGCAGCGACAACAACAAGAGCGUGGAAUCUAAAGAAUUGGAGAAGGAGUCGGCAGCUCAAGAUAUACCGGAGAGUGGUAAUCCACCGACAACAGAUGAGAAAGGGGGCUAUUAUUUUGAGAAGAAAAAUGAGGGAAUACCAGGGCUUGAUGUAAAACCAGAUUCAGUUGCUAGUAGUUCUGAUUCAGAAUCCUCCAGCAGUGAGUCGAGCAGUAAUAGCGAACGUGAGAGGCGAAGAGUGAGAAGUGAACGCUCUAGGGAUAAGAAACGAGACAAGAAGCACAGGCAUCGAUCGAAGAGCGUUGAACGACAUGGGAAAAAUAGAGACAGAAACGAUCGUGACAAACAUAAGCAUAAGAGUAGGGAAGAGCAUAGAUCAGGUGAAAGGUCGAGACAUAGGUCGACGAGAGAUAAGUCUAGAGAGCGUAGCAGGAGUGUAGAGAAACAUAGGCGACGGAGUAGGUCUAGAGAGCAUAGUCGGAGCGUAGAAAAGAGUAGGAGGGGCAGUACUAGACACCAAAGCCCAUCGCACAGUAAAGACGAGGAGAGGAGGCGGGCAAGGGAGAAAGAAAGGGUUAGGGAAAAGGAGAAGGCGAGAGAGUUAGAGAGGAGGGACCGGGAGAGGCACCGGGAGAGCCGCAGGAGUAAGAAGCGCAGGACUCGCAGCGGGAGUAGCGAGGGAAGCGGCAGUAGGGAACGCCGCAAGAAGCGCAGUAGAAAUCGCGAGUCGAGCGAAGAGAGCAGCCGCUCUCGUCGCAAGUCCAAGAAGUCGAAGCGCAGUCGCUCGCCCGAACGGCGCAGGCGAAAGGCGUCCAAGUAUUCCAGCGAGUCUGCGUCUUCGAGUCUGGAAAACGCACGCGGUUCUCCAGAAAGGUCUGUAUCAGAUGAAGAAGUGGAGGAAGAUAGAAAAAGAUCGGGUAAGAGGUCCAGUCGGAAGAGCAAGUCGAAUUCAUGAAAAAUGUUCCUGGUGUGAAUUGCACUCAUGAGCUUUUUUCUGCUGUUGUGUGGGUUGCUAUUGGCAGGAGAUUUUGAAACGCGCCUAUUUUCAGGAUUUUAAGAUUGUGAAUUAGUACACAUUCUAUGUUCCAUUCUAUAUUCUGUGCUCGUUGGUCCCCUGUGUAAAUCGGGCCAUUAAAGGCAUCACGUCACAAAAAUUCACUUCUGUCAAAUUUUAUUUCAACUAACAUGGCCACGUUCUUGGCACCAAGUCAUAUCAUGACGUGUAGAUAAUUUAAAAAUAAUCCUGCUUUUGAGAAUAAAAAUGCAUCGAAGUAGCAUGAUUAACUUUCAGCGGGUCUUACUAAGAGAUAGUGAUGUAAUAAAAAGUAAACAAUGUCAAGUGUCCUUCAGUUUCGCAUUGACGCUAUACUGUUCAAAGAGAUACUCGAACUGAAUUUACUUUACUUACUAUAUAUAGCCAGACAGUACUUAUUAGAAGCGAGUGAGUUGAAACCACUGCGUACCUUAUGACGGCGCUUGCAUUCUGUUUGUUUCAUUUUUGUGAAGAUAUUUUUUUUACAAUGAAAUAAUUAACUUAUAAUACGAGAUAGCAGCACAGUUAUAGUAUUUCAUCAAUAUCAAGGGUCCGUAAUAGAACAUUUUUUGUGUCUAAUAGACUCUUGAUCUUUUGUGAUGUAAUAACUAAGUUUCUUCGUGAGUAAUUCACUUGCUAUAUGUGUAUUUUCAUACAAAAUCUAUAGCUGUGUCGUUUUCCAUCCUUGUAAGUAUAAGUGGUAUAUAUGGUAAUAUCAUAAAAUCGCCAUAGUUGCAUUAUGUCUUUCUUGCAUACACAAAUUUUGUGUAAAGUAAUAAAAUAGUAUUCUGAAUGAA
rnacentral:misc_RNA from 1 species